UUCAAAAUGGCAGAAUCUAUGCAAUGAAUUUAAAACUCAUUUAUGAAUAAAAUUAUUCCUUUGAAA
rnacentral:tRNA from 1 species